rnacentral:rRNA from 1 species
AUUGAACGCUGGCGGCAGGCCUAACACAUGCAAGUCGAACGGUAACGCAAAAACAAUCCCUUCGGGGUGCGUUUUUUAGGCGACGAGUGGCGGACGGGUGAGUAACGCGUAGGAAUCUACCCAGAAGUGGGGGACAACCCGAGGAAACUCGGGCUAAUACCGCAUGCACCCUACGGGGUAAAGCGGAGGACCUUCGGGCUUCGCACUUCUGGAUGAGCCUGCGUCCGAUUAGCUUGUUGGUAGGGUAACGGCCUACCAAGGCGACGAUCGGUAGCUGGUCUGAGAGGAUGAUCAGCCACACUGGGACUGAGACACGGCCCAGACUCCUACGGGAGGCAGCAGUGGGGAAUAUUGGACAAUGGGGGCAACCCUGAUCCAGCCAUGCCGCGUGUGUGAAGAAGGCUUUCGGGUUGUAAAGCACUUUCAGUAGGGAAGAAAAGCGUGGGGUUAAUACCCCCGCGUCUUGACGGUACCUACNGAAGAAGCACCGGCUAAUUCCGUG